GGUUUGGGAAUUUUUUUUGUUGUUUCUUGAUGUUGGUGGUUGGACCUAAUGAUUUUUAAUCUUCUAUUGACAGUGUUGUUGUUUGCUUAUUCCUGGGGAAAACUGGUCUUGGAGAACAUUGAUGACUCAGAAUUCUUUGGUGAAUUUCUGCAAGCCUACCCGAAUGGUGAAGCUGCACGCCAUGGUUCUGACAUUAACUUAAUAAAAGUAAAUGCAUGCACCAAGAGCGCUGAUACAUGGGAUUGAGAAGCCCCACUGUGACAUUGUCCGGAAAGUGUCGUUUAUUCCUUUUUUUGCGAAGAGGGAAGAUAAACCUUUUUUUUAAUGGAAGAGGGAAGAGAAACUAAGAAGACCAAAGUGGUGAUAAUGUGUUAGAUGCCAGAAUGAAAUAUUCUUUUUGGGUGAAUGCCAGAAUGAAACAUUAUAUGUUGGCUGCUAUCUGGUUCAUUGCUAAAUAGGUGAGGUUGAUGCAUACCUGAUCUUGCUGACCUUCGGGGUUAGCGCUGCCUGAGUGCCACCAGAGCAAGCCAAGGAUGAAUGCGGUGGCAAUGACUUGUGUUAUUCUCAUCCAGCUCAAAUAGUCA